rnacentral:piRNA from 1 species
UGGCUUAAAGGCGGUCACCUUCUUGCUA